ACAUUUUAAAUGAGUAAGCAAUGUCUAAUGGGAAACUGUGUAUGGAGCUUUACUUUUAGAUAUAUAUACUCCUCUUUCAGAUUGGGGAAUUACACACAUAACCACGAAUAGAGAAUAUGCUAGUUAAUUCUUAAUAUCCCUCUAAACACUCCUUUGCAAGCUAAAUCAGUAAACACUAUAGCAAGGAUGUUCUCUGCAUAAGGCUCAAUUUCACUGAAGUCAAGUCGAAGUUCUGUCAUAGGAGAGUGUUUUAUUGACAUAUAAAAUCUGCAAUGGAUCUGGCUGGGUAUUCCCAGAGACUUUAUUUUAAUUGGAAUUCCCUGCAGUGGCAUGAAGAUCAAACGUUUCCUGAAGUGUGGUAGAAGGCAGGAAGAAUGACACUUGCUAAUUUGAAUUUCAGAAAGCACCUAAACUUCAUUCUGAUCUCCAGAGAGUAUCCAAAACAAUUCCUUGCCUGCUUUCAUAAAAAGUCUUUCUGAAAAUUUGAGAACUGCUAUCAAACCUUCACUUGGCCUUUCCCCUCCUGGAUUAAACCUUGCAAGCCCUAUUCUUUCUUGCAAAGUCUUAUGCUAGAAAUGCUCUUUUAAAUUCAUUCUUAUUUCAGGUUCUGGGACUUUCUCCAGCUGAUUAAUGUAUUUUAUUGACAUGUGAUAACCUGCAGAGGUGACAGGGAUCCAGGUAAAGAAUUACCAGCUCUGAGUAGAAAGGAAGGAAUAUUUUGUGUGUUUAACAUAAAACUUACUACUUUUAUCUAACACAGCAUGAUUGCUUCUUAGGCAAUUGUACAAUUGUAUUGCCUCUUUGUGAUCCAUUCUAAUUGCCAGAUUAUUUUCUGCACCUUGUUUGGUCAUUCUCCUUUUUAUAUUUGUGCAUGUAAUUUUACUUGUAUAGGUACACAUGAAUUCACUUAAUUGCCUAGCUGCAUUCAGAUUUCUGCUGUGCACCUAGAUAAUUUAAAAUGUACAUUCUGCACUCUGAUAGGUUUGAAGUCUUUUUAGCUUAGUGUAAUUUUCAAAUGCAAAAAGCAUCUUAAUCACCUAGCAGUUCAAUAAUUAACAUGUCAUGCAGAUUCUUGCAGAACCUGACCUGAUGCAUCUUGCUCGUUUAAAAAUGAAUCACUAAUAACUAUUGGUAACUAAUUCUGUGAUUGGGAUUUCCCAAAUAACUACCUACCUCAAAUCUGCUUGUCUAUACAAAUGUUCUGUGAGAUGUCAAAAGCCAAAAUCCAGAUUCAUAACAGUGUUUUGACUCUUCUGUCCAAAAAUUUUAGAUAAUGUAGAGUGAAAUAAAAUUGCUCUUACAUUACAUAUUUAUUAGAAAUUAAUUUGUCUUUUGUAUCCUGUUUAUAUUC